CUGGGCUCCAUGAGCAAGAGGCCGCAGGCUGCCUCUGAGAUCCAGCUCAGGGGCCGUCCAGGCUCCUGUGUCCCGCCUGGGAUGGAGGGGCCACUCAUCAAACCCUCUUCUCCUGGCUGCCACCCCCACUGGACGGAGACCACCACUACCUGGGUCUUGCUGUAGGUGGCAGCACUUCUCGCCCACCUGCCGUGGCCUGGCCCCAGGCCCACCCAGCACUGAGUCCCCGGCACCGUGGACAAGGGUGCUCACUGUGUCCGUGGCUGGCUGGAGGCUGCCCUGGGCCCUUUCUGUGACCCUCAGCCCUGGAGCUCAGGGUCCCCUCACACCUGGAGAUCCAUCCCCAGCUACCCCGUGCCAGCUGCUCCUUGCUUUUGGCGGUCACCCCCCUCCCCCAACACAGUCUCUGCAGUGUCUUCCGCCACCCUGUCCCCCAACACACACAGUCUCUGCGGUGUCCCCCAUCACCCUGUCCAGGCCGCCCCCUUUUUGGGUUCCUCCUGCCCCAUGCCUGAGGCAUGCCCCUUUCUGUGGUUUACAUGACGAAGGGCCUGGGGGGAGCUUCCGGGCUGAGCCACAUGGGAUUCUCCUGGUGGGCAGUGCUAGGCCUCAGCUGGGGCUCUGGUUGGCUGUGGCCUCCCCCAGGGACUGGCUGCACCCUGGGUCCCUGUGGACAGAGCCGUCUGGGUUGCAGAUGAGAGUUCUGCUCUUUUUGGGAAGGAGGCCUGGUCUGGUCCUGGCUUUAGUUUGCGGUGUGACCUUUAGCAGUUCACGCAGCCUCUCUGGGCCCCUGGUGGAAACAGGUCUCUGAGGUUCUUUUCAGCCUUGCUUAUGGCUCCAGGCCAUCCAGUGACACAGGGCAGGGGUCCUCACUGGGGGCAUGUGAGCCGCUGGCCCACCUGCUGGGGAGGCCAAGGGCAGGCCGGGUGGAGCCGUCCUCGCUGCGGGCGCACAGUUGCGUCCCCGCUCUGAGCCCGUGUCCUCAGCUGUUAAAUGGGCAGCAUAAGGCCCUCCUCACAGGAUUCUGGGGAUCAAGUGAGCUCUUCCUGUAAAUGACCAUGUAUAAACUGUCAAGUGCAAUAGAAAAUUUUGCGUGAGGAAAAUAAGGCCUAGUGGGGUAAGUGAUGUGUGGCACAUGACAGGUGAGAUCCUAGAGCUGCAGCGGGGACAGGCCACUCCCCACCUCCGCAUGCUGCUGUGAGCAGCCCUGGCUCGAGUCCAGGACCUUACCAGGUCCUCGUCAGACUCCCUUGCUCUUCCAGGGGUGCUCAGAGCCCGACCUGAAGAGCCCAAAGAGGCUGUCUUCCUACCCAGCUGGUCUCCCGCAGGCCUGAGGCUGGGGAUGCAGGCAGGAGGGAGGUGGCUACCCUGUCCCUCUCCCUAGCCGGCGGCUCCAUUCUGAGCAGUUCUCGCUGCCCAUUUGCUCUCAGGGGAAAGCUCACACCCCCCCAUCUUAGCCCGGGGCGGGGGGCAGUGAGUGGGCGCUGGUGAUGGGAUGGUAUGGCGCUCCUGAUGUGGCUGUCACCAGGAGGCUCUUUGGGAAGGAGGGUGCCCCGGUCAGGUGGUGCUCUCCUGGUCACCAGGGGUGUACAUGUGAAGUUGGGUGAACACCUGCUGGUCAUUGUACCCAGUGAUUCUUGCCCACGUGGACAGCUGGGCAGAGGCCCUUCUGGGUCUUGGCGUCUAAUGAAGAGCAGAGCAGCCCAAGGAGUGUGGGUCAAUUAUGAGUGGGAGCCAAGUCUGGGAACCCAUGUGCGUCAUGUUUGGGUCAGGUUGGCUUGGCCACCACUGAAAUAAGCAAUAAGUAUGGGCUCCUGGUACCUGUGGAUGUCCUGCAAACAGGUCCAGAGAACAGCCUUGAAGCCACCUUUCCCCUCAAGGGGACGGACCCUGUCCUUAAUGCUGCAGUGGCGUCCAGGGAUCAGUGGAAUGUUGCUUUGAGAACCCUCCUGCCUGUUACGGAGACAGCACAAAGCUGGUGCCCCCUGAGCCAACAUGGCACUGGGAUGGCUUUUCAGGACAGAACUCUGUCAGUGACAGUCACAUCUCAAAUUAAUAGCUGAUUUUAAAGGCCAGCAGUAGUGAUGCCAUAUGCCUGAGGACAGGUGGCAGUUGCAGAGCACCGUGGGCUGUAGAGAGUCAGAUGGGGCCUCCCACGGGGGAACCCUGGGGACACUGCAGCUCAGGGUGACUCCUAGCUCUGAAAGCCCCCAGUGGGGGUGCCCUUUCAGAUGCCCCCUCCCCAUUUCAAAGGCUCAGUCUCGAUGGUGAAGCUGGCCGCAGCACUGGCACUCAGCUUCAGUGUCCACUGUGACGGACGGUCUCCUUUCUCGCCUCAGCCAGGCAGCCGGGCCCAUCCUGGCCCAGAACAUGCUGAGCACGUUUUGUUGGGGGCACCUUCUUAUCCAAGUUACUAGCUACACACCAGUGUUUAAAGAGAAAAAAGUGACCUUUCAUUUUUUUUUCUUGAAACUUGAGGAAACAAGAUACAUACUACUGAUUUUUUUUUUCUUAAAGAAAACAAAACGCAUGACUGCAGAGCGGUGGAGGUGUUUACUUCUCAUACUGUGGGGGCGUUUGCGCUGCUUUUUGGAGAUGGACUGGAAUGUCUGCUUUCUGUCCUGGGCCUGGCAGCUAUGUCUAUUUUCUGUAGAACGUGCCCCCGUGAGACCUGGAGCCAUCCUCCUGCCCUGGCACGGUUUAGAGCUGGGAGCCUGUGACUCCCGGCCUGUUUCUACCUUCUAUCCAACCACUCUGAUGUGGGGAGACAAAAAGAAAUAGAACUUUUUGAUAGUGUGGUAAAAACACUGAUUUGAACUAUUUUAGUAAAAGGAGUAACAAGAUUGUGAUAGUGUAUACUUUGAGCUAGAUAAAUAAAGGCCUCUUUGUGCGCCUCCUG